UCAAAAAUUCACGUUCAUCCACAGGAUUGUCCUUCCACAAGUGGCACAAGUGAUAGAGGAAAAAGAAGGCUGGAUGUUCAGAAUGAGUCCGGCAAACGGCAAUCAACGUCAAUGAAACGACGAUGUGACUUUUCAGAUCAAAUAAUACACUCUCGUGUGAAAGACAUCAUGAGAGUUGUCCAUAACAAACUACCAAACCAG